GACGAACGCUGGCGGCGUGCUUAACACAUGCAAGUCGAACGGAAAGGCCCUGCUUUUGUGGGGUGCUCGAGUGGCGAACGGGUGAGUAACACGUGAGUAACCUGCCCUUGACUUUGGGAUAACUUCAGGAAACUGGGGCUAAUACCGGAUAUGAGCUCCUGCUGCAUGGUGGGGGUUGGAAAGUUUCGGCGGUUGGGGAUGGACUCGCGGCUUAUCAGCUUGUUGGUGGGGUAGUGGCUUACCAAGGCUUUGACGGGUAGCCGGCCUGAGAGGGUGACCGGCCACAUUGGGACUGAGAUACGGCCCAGACUCCUACGGGAGGCAGCAGUGGGGAAUAUUGCAGAAUGGGCGGAAGCCUGAUGCAGCAACGCCGCGUGCGGGAUGACGGCCUUCGGGUUGUAAACCGCUUUCGCCUGUGACGAAGCGUGAGUGACGGUAAUGGGUAAAGAAGCACCGGCUAACUACGUG
rnacentral:rRNA from 1 species